UACGGGGGGGGCAAGCGUUGUUCGGAAUUACUGGGCGUAAAGGGCUCGUAGGUGGCCAACUAAGUCAGACGUGAAAUCCCUCGGCUUAACUGGGGAACUGCGUCUGAUACUGGAUGGCUUGAGUUUGGGAGAGGGAUGCGGAAUUCCAGGUGUAGCGGUGAAAUGCGUAGAUAUCUGGAGGAACACCGGUGGCGAAGGCGGCAUCCUGGACCAAUAUUGACGCUGAGGAGCGAAAGCCAGGGGAGCAAACGGG
rnacentral:rRNA from 1 species